CUUCUGUUUCUCUUCCUCCUAUUCAUCCUUAGUAUAUCCUACUCUUCCUCCUGCUCUUCCUCUCCUCCUACUCUUCCUCCUGCUCUUC